rnacentral:lncRNA from 1 species
CACUUGCAUACUAUUGUGAGAGGUUUUUAAUGAGCAACUAGCAUGAGAGUGUGAAACUCAAUAUUCCGUGCUUAGAGAAGCGAGCACUUCCACAAUUCAGUGUUAAAAAUAGCUAGUCAUCAUGCAACAACCAUUGUGGUUGGCACUAGCGGUUACGGUUGUAUCCGUGAGCGAGGCUUGCGAGGAGGACCGAGCAAACUACUCCGUCUUCUACAACGUUGGCACCGAAGAGGAAGCGACGCUCUUUCCGUGCCUGCAGUGCUUUGCUCAGCCUUGCGUCAGCGACCGAGAAAAACUGAGGACGCCCAUUGUUGGGACAAGGAAGUAUUGCUGUAGAAGGUGCUCCCACGUCGCGGUGGCUGGCACUGCGUGCAGCCUGCAACGGGACGAGUCGGCCGUCGUCUGCCAUAAGGGGAAUAUCUGCAGCGUCACCGGAAAGGUCUGCGUAGAAGAGUGUCCGCUGCCACCCAUGCCGUAAAACAUAUAAGUUCGACGUUUUCUAGGGGCACCACAACCAAGACCACGGUUUUUCAUGGGCACUUUCCGAAAUAGUUGAAUAAAUCAAUGAAUGGACGUUCUGAAACUACACAGGGGGCAACCGUCGCCCGGCAUCGAACCCUCGGCCUCGUGCUCAGCAGCAGUGCGUGACAGCCACUGAGCGACCGCGGCUGG